AUACGUAGGGGGCGAGCGUUGUCCGGAAUCACUGGGCGUAAAGCGCACGUAGGCGGGCUGUCAAGUCGGCCGUGAAAGGCACGGGCUCAACCUGUGCAUGUCGGUCGAUACUGGCGGUCUGGAGUAUGGGAGAGGGAACUGGAAUUCCCGGUGUAGCGGUGAAAUGCGUAGAUAUUACACAGAACACCAAUUGCGUAGGCAGCUUACUGAGCCGACACUGACGCUGAGGCACGAAAGCGUGGGGAUC
rnacentral:rRNA from 1 species